AACCUGGCCAGUGGGAGGACUGAAGAUGCCAGUCCCUGCGUAUAGGGAUUUGGAGGGAGUGGUUUAACAAGACUGGACCAGCUGUGUGAAAUUAAUUCUCUCCCUCUUAGCCACAAGAAGAGGGCUGUGCAUGCUGGGAACUCACUCAGAACAGGGAGAGGGUUUCUAGAAAGACCAGAGCUAAGUAGUGAAAGGUGGUUCCUGUCUAGAACUUGGCUAGAUUUAGUCCCGCUUUGGGCCUCUGCUCUAAAUAGGACUGAAGUGAGAUGUGUCUCAUUCCUUUCUGUUACCUUUUGGCUGAGGGAAGCCUUGCUGGUUCUGGCCCCUGAAGAGACAGACCAGUUUUUCCAUUUAUCUUUCUGUGCUACACUCCAAUUUACAUACCACCUAGCUGGGCAGAAUAUUUUUCUGCUCUUGAUCACCUGCCAGCUGCCACACACUUACAUUGGCAGAAUGCCCCUGUCUUGCAGGUUCUUCUCAUCCCUCUGAGUUUCUCAAGAGGACAGGAAGCAGCUCAAAAUAUUUCAUUUGUGCUGAAAAGCCUUGAACUCCAGUGAUUCCUCACUUUUUAAUAUCAGGAAAGGGGGCCCUCUUCCAGGAACACCUUCCUUGCGGGUGUAUGGAAAGUUGCCAGCUGAAAUAAACGAGAUAAUCUAAGUAAUCCAAUAGACAUCUGAAGAACUACACAGUAGAAGAACAGACAAAUGACUGAGUGAGCCUGUGAUCAAAAACUUACAGAAGAAAUUGAUUUAUUCCAAAAUAAAUGUCCCUAAAUUUAAAUGGGGACCUUUACCACCCG